UACAGUUUGUUUCUCCUCUUGGACACUCU
rnacentral:piRNA from 1 species